CCUACGGGUGGCAGCAGUGAGGAAUUUUGGUCAAUGGGCGCGAGCCUGAACCAGCCAAGUAGCGUGAAGGAUGACUGCCCUACGGGUUGUAAACUUCUUUUAUAAAGGAAUAAGGUGAGGCACGUGUGCCUUUUUGUAUGUACUUUAUGAAUAAGGAUCGGCUAACUCCGUGCCAGCAGCCGCGGUAAUACGGAGGAUCCGAGCGUUAUCCGGAUUUGUUGGGUUUAAAGGUAGCGUAGAGGGGUUGUUAAGUCAGUUGUGAAAGUUUGCGGCUCAAACGUAAAAUUGCAAUUGAUACUGGCAGCCGUGAGUACAGUUGAGGUAGGUGGAAUUCGAGGUGUAGCGGUGAAAUGCUUAGAUAUCACGAAGAACUCCGAUUGCGAAGGCAGCUUACUAAACUGCAACUGACAUUGAUUCUCGAAAGUGUGGGUAUCAAACAGGAUUAGAUACCCGAGUAGUC
rnacentral:rRNA from 1 species